GGGUCAGUAGGUUGGUCGUGCCACCGGUACGUACUGGUCUCACUGAUUCCUCCUUCCUGAAGAACCGUAAUGCCAUUAAUUUGGUGUUGCGGGGAAACAGGACUGUUACUUUGAAAAAAUUAGAGCGUCUAAAGCAAGCUAACGCUUGAAUACAUUAGCAUGGAAUAAUGAAAUAGGGCGAUCGAUCCUAUUUUGUUGGUUUCUAGGAUUGACGUA
rnacentral:rRNA from 1 species